rnacentral:rRNA from 1 species
UUGGAGGGCAAGUCUGGUGCCAGCAGCCGCGGUAAUUCCAGCUCCAAUAGCGUAUAUUAAAGUUGUUGCAGUUAAAAAGCUCGUAGUUGAAUUUCGGGAUUCUACCGUUGGUCGGGCUUUGUCUGUACUGGCGUGUAGAAUUUCUACCUUCUGGGGAACUAUCAUGUUAUUAAUUUAGCGUGGUAGGAAACCAGGACCUUUACCUUGAAAAAAUUAGAGUGUUCAAAGCAGGCUUAUGUCUGAAUACAUUAGCAUGGAAUAAUAAAAUAGGACGGUGGUCCUGUUUUGUUGGUUUCUGAAUCACCGUAAUGAUUAAUAGGGAUAGUUGGGGGCAUUAGUAUUCAAUUGUCAGAGGUGAAAUUCUUGGAUUUAUUGAAGACUAACUACUGCGAAAGCAUUUGCCAAGGAUGUUUUCAUUAAUCAAGAACGAAAGUUAGGGGAUCGAAGACGAUCAGAUACCGUCGUAGUCUUAACCAUAAACUAUGCCGACUAGGGAUCGGACGAUGUUAACUUUUCUUGACUCGUUCGGCGCCUUACGGGAAAC